rnacentral:rRNA from 1 species
AGUGAACGCUGGCGGCGUGCUUAACACAUGCAAGUCGAACGAGUAAGUGCUGUAGCAAUACAGACUACUGCUAGUGGCAGACGGGUGAGUAAUACAUGGGAAUCUACCCUAAAGUCUGGAAUAACUGUUGGAAACGACAGCUAAUACCGGAUAUUGCCGAGAGGUGAAAGAUUUAUUGCUUUAGGAUGAGCCCAUGCAAGAUUAGCUAGUUGGUAGGGUAAUGGCCUACCAAGGCGAAGAUCUUUAGCUGGUUUGAGAGGAUGACCAGCCACACUGGAACUGAGACACGGUCCAGACUCCUACGGGAGGCAGCAGUGGGGAAUAUUGGACAAUGGGCGAAAGCUUGAUCCAGCGACGCCGCGUGAGUGAUGAAGGCCUUCGGGUUGUAAAGCUCUUUUAGUAGGGAAGAUUAUGACGGUACCUACAGAAAAAGCUCCGGCUAACUUCGUGCCAGCCGCCGCUGUAA